AGCUUUUUGAGUCCGUGCUCAGAUUUCGUCAGAUACCAACCCAUUAGAGCUGAUCAGACUUUCAAGACAAGCGAAGUU
rnacentral:pre_miRNA from 1 species